GUCUUGGCAUUCUCCAGUUCUUCUACCGUGACGAAUGAGUUAGGUUUGAUAUUUGGUUUGCGGCGACAGCGGUUCCCAAAGCGAAGGAUCAAAGCAGUGAUCCGAACUAAUCGCCAGAAGGAUGCAUAACGG